UACGUAGGGUGCAAGCGUUUAAUCGGAAUUACUGGGCGUAAAGCGUGCGUAGACGGUUAUGUAAGUCAGGUGUGAAAGCCCCGGGCUCAACCUGGGAAUGGCAUUUGAGACUGCAUAGCUAGGGUGCGGAAGAGGGAAGCGGAAUUUCCGGUGUAGCGGUGAAAUGCGUAGAUAUCGGAAGGAACAUCAGUGGCGAAAAGCGGCUUCC
rnacentral:rRNA from 1 species